rnacentral:rRNA from 1 species
UGGGGAAUAUUGGGCAAUGGGCGAAAGCCUGACGGAGCAACGCCGCGUGAGUGAAGAAGAUCUUCGGAUUGUAAAGCUCUGUCAACAGGGACGAUAAUGACGGUACCUGUGGAGGAAGCCACGGCAAACUACGUGCCAGCAGCCGCGGUAAUACGUAGGUGGCAAGCGUUGUCCGGAAUAACUGGGCGUAAAGCGCAUGUAGACGGCAUAGCAAGACAAGUGUGAAAUUUAGGGGCUUAACCUCUAACCUGCGGUUGGAACUGCUGAGCUUGAGUGCAGGAGAGGCAAGUGGAAUUCCCAGUGUAGCAGUGAAAUGCGUAGAUAUUGGGAGGAACACCAGUGGCGAAGGCGACUUGCUGGACUGCAACUGACGUUGAGAUGCGAAAGCUAGGGGAGCAAACG